rnacentral:rRNA from 1 species
UACGUAGGGUGCGAGCGUUGCCCGGAUUUAUUGGGCGUAAAGGGUGCGUAGGCGGUCGCGUAAGUCAGGUGUGAAAUCUCAGGGCUCAACCCUGGAACUGCACUUGAUACUGCGUGGCUCGGGUACUGGAGAGGAGACUGGAAUUUACGGUGUAGCAGUGAAAUGCGUAGAUAUCGUAAGGAAGACCAGUGGCGAAGGCGAGUCUCUGGACAGUUACCGACGCUGAGGCACGAAGGUCAGGGGAGCAAACGGG